rnacentral:rRNA from 2 species
CGCGAGCUGGGUUUAGAACGUCGUGAGACAGUUCGGUCCCUAUCUGCCGUGGGCGCUGGAGAAUUGAGGGGGGCUGCUCCUAGUACGAGAGGACCGGAGUGGACGCAUCACUGGUGUUCGGGUUGUCAUGCCAAUGGCACUGCCCGGUAGCUAAAUGCGGAAGAGAUAAGUGCUGAAAGCAUCUAAGCACGAAACUUGCCCCGAGAUGAGUUCUCCCUGAGACUUUAAGUCUCCUGAAGGAACGUUAAAGACGAUGACGUUGAUAGGCCGGGUGUGUAAGCGCAGCGAUGCGUUGAGCUAACCGGUACUAAUGAACCGUGAGGCUUAACCUU